rnacentral:rRNA from 1 species
GUCUACAGCCAUACCAUCUGGAACACGCCCAAUCUCAUCUGAUCUUGGAAGCUCAGCUGGGUUGGGCCUAGUUAGUACUUGGAUGGGAGAAGGACAGGACAGUGAUAACU